GGGGUGGAGCCCAGUGGUAAAGUUCUUGCCUGACAUGCAUGAGGCCCUGGGUUUGAUUCUCAGCACUACCA
rnacentral:tRNA from 1 species